AAUCAACGCUGGCGGCGUGCCUCAGACAUGCAAGUCGAACGAUUAAAGCUCUCUUCGGAGAGUGUAUAGAGUGGCGCACGGGUGAGUAACACGUAAGUAAUCUACCUUCGAGUGGGGAAUAACACCGAGAAAUACGGUGCUAAUACCGCAUAAUGCAGCGGCAUCGCAAGAUGACAGUUGUUAAAGAUUAUCGCUUGAAGAGGAGCUUGCGGCAGAUUAGCUAGUUGGUAAGGUAAUGGCUUACCAAGGCUACGAUCUGUAACCGGUCUAAGAGGACGGUCGGUCACACUGACACUGAA
rnacentral:rRNA from 1 species